AACGAACGCUGGCGGCAUGCCUAACACAUGCAAGUCGAACGAUUGCCUUCGGGUGAUAGUGGCGCACGAGUGCGUAACGCGUGGGAAUCUGCCCUUGGGUUCGGAAUAACAGCUGGAAACGGCUGCUAAUACCGGAUGAUAUCGCGAGAUCAAAGAUUUAUCGCCUGAGGAUGAGCCCGCGUUGGAUUAGGUAGUUGGUGGGGUAAAGGCCUACCAAGCCGACGAUCCAUAGCUGGUCUGAGAGGAUGAUCAGCCACACUGGGACUGGGACACGGCCCAGACUCCUACGGGAGGCAGCAGUGGGGAAUAUUGGACAAUGGGCGCAAGCCUGAUCCAGCAAUGCCGCGUGAGUGAUGAAGGCCCUAGGGUUGUAAAGCUCUUUUACCCGGGAAGAUAAUGACUAUACCGGGAGAAUAAGCCCCGGCUAACUCCGUGCCAGCCGCCGCAGUAA
rnacentral:rRNA from 1 species